GUCAACGUGCCAGAGUGGUUAAUGGGUAUGACUCGAAUGACUCCUCCUAGGAGUUGCCAGAUAUCAUAUGGUUUCGGCCGCGUAGGUUCAAAUCCUGCCGUUGACG
rnacentral:tRNA from 1 species